UUAGAAAGAGCAUUAUCAAUGAGAGGAAGAACAACACAAGCGACUGAAGAAGAAGGAUUAGGAGGAGGAGUAGGAGGAGGAGGAGGAGGAAAUGAAGAGGAAAGAGAUGACGAUGAAUAAAAAAUAAGAAAGAUUUCAUUAGCAAUGAGAAUAACAAAUCUAAUUACAUACAAAUUUGGUGUGUUUUGGCCAUGUUCUUUCAUUGUUUUCUCCUUCCUUCUUCUUGUUUCUUCUAUUAUUAUUCGUUCAAGGAAUUCUGUUUGUGUUUCGACUCUGGAUUCAAAAAGUUUGAUUGGGAUUGAUGGUUAGGUUCAGAUUUUGGUACUCUUGGUAUCGAAAUCGGGACGAGUGGUGGAAUGGACAACAAAGGAUUUAUUAAGCGAUUGGAAGAGUUAGUGACGAUAUAUGAAACACGGGCAAUCAAUAAUAAUCUGUAUGGGAUGGGAUUUGAUCUUUGGUUUGGACUUUGGUUUAUGAUUAGGUGGAACCUUAUCUGAUGAUGGAGAGUGGUGCUUUUAAAGGGCAUUCAACAUGGGUUCUUAUUUUUAGUUGCCCCUUUUAUUCAGUUCUUGGAUCUUUCAAUUCUAGAUUUUUUUUUAUUUUUUUUUAUGCAUCAAUUCUAGAUGUUUCUUGGUGGAUUUGAUGUAGUUUUUUGUUAUCUUUGUGGGUUUUGUCACUAAUUUUAGGGAUUUUGACUGAAAUUUGUUUAAUUAUCAGAGAAUUUUGGUAUUUGUCACUUGACUUUUUUUUUAGUUCGAUUUUACGGUGAUUUGCUAAUUAGGAUCUUACAGAAUUUGGCAUUGGUAGGAACUCAAAAGGUGAAUUUUCCAAGAAACAGCCCCGAGUGAUACUUACGUUAGGGCUUAUAAAUUUGUCCUGGGUUUCUGAAUUUGUGUGAAUAGAUUGAAGCAGGCACUGAAAGCUGGGUUCAAGCAUUUGAUCUUUGAGAUACUGGUACUGGUGAUUUGAGGCAUAUGUGACCAAUCCUAUAUCAGAGGUUUAUCAGAGUGAGAAGAAUCUUCUACCUGGAGCAGCAUAACCAACGGAGCCCCUUAUCCCGACUGAAGUACUGGCGG